rnacentral:rRNA from 1 species
UACGGAGGGUGCAAGCGUUAAUCGGAAUUACUGGGCGUAAAGCGUGCGCAGGCGGCGGUGCUGGCCCGGCGUGAAAGCCCCCGGCUCAACCGGGGAGGGUCGUCGGGGACCGCACCGCUUGAGGGCGGUAGGGGCUGGUGGAAUGCCUGGUGUAGUGGUGAAAUGCGUUGAUAUCAUGGGGAACACCGAAAGCGAAGGCAAGAAACUGGGCCGCUCCUGACACUGAAACACGAAAGCGUGGGUCGCGAAUGGG